rnacentral:rRNA from 1 species
CCUACGGGAGGCUGCAGUGGGGAAUAUUGCACAAUGGGGGAAACCCUGAUGCAGCGACGCCGCGUGAGCGAGGAAGUAUUUCGGUAUGUAAAGCUCUAUCAGCAGGGACGUAAAAAGACGGUACCUGACUAAGAAGCAUCGGCUAACUACGUGCCAGCAGCCGCGGUAAUACGUAGGGGGCAAGCGUUAUCCGGAUUUACUGGGUGUAAAGGGAGCGUAGGCGGCAAGGCAAGCCAGCAGUGAAAGUGUAGGGCUCAACCCUGUACAUGCUUUUGGAACUGUGGUGCUAGAGUGUGGGAGAGGUAAGUGGAAUUCGUAGUGUAGCGGUGAAAUGCGUAGAUAUUAGGAAGAACUCCAGUGGCGAAGGCAGCUUACUGGACUGUAACUGACGUUGAGGCACGAAAGCGUGGGUAGCAAACAGGAUUAGAUACCCGUGUAGUC